rnacentral:rRNA from 1 species
AGAGUUUGAUCCUGGCUCAGGACGAACGCUGGCGGCGUGCCUAACACAUGCAAGUCGAGCGGAGACAGUGAGUAGCUUGCUAUGAACUGUUUUAGCGGCGGACGGGUGAGUAACGCGUGAGCAACCUUUCCCAGACAGGGGAAUAACACACCGAAAGGUGUACUAAUACCGCAUAAGACCACGGGAUCACAUGGUUCUGGGGUAAAAGAUUUAUCGGUUUGGGGUGGGCUCGCGUCCGAUUAGGUAGUUGGUGAGGUAACGGCCCACCAAGCCGACGAUCGGUAGCCGACCUGAGAGGGUGAUCGGCCACAUUGGGACUGAGACACGGCCCAAACUCCUACGGGAGGCAGCAGUGGGGAAUAUUGCACAAUGGGGGAAACCCUGAUGCAGCGACGCCGCGUGAGCGAUGAAGUAUUUCGGUAUGUAAAGCUCUAUCAGCAGGGAAGAAAAUGACGGUACCUGACUAAGAAGCCCCGGCUAACUACGUGCCAGCAGCCGCGGUAAUACGUAGGGGGCAAGCGUUGUCCGGAAUAAUUGGGCGUAAAGGGCGCGUAGGCGGCUCGGUAAGUCUGGAGUGAAAGUCCUGCUUUUAAGGUGGGAAUUGCUUUGGAUACUGUCGAGCUUGAGUGCAGGAGAGGUUAGUGGAAUUCCCAGUGUAGCGGUGAAAUGCGUAGAGAUUGGGAGGAACACCAGUGGCGAAGGCGACUAACUGGACUGUAACUGACGCUGAGGCGCGAAAGUGUGGGGAGCAAACAGGAUUAGAUACCCUGGUAGUCCACACUGUAAACGAUGAAUGCUAGGUGUAGGGGGUAUCGACCCCUUCUGUGCCGCAGUCAACACAAUAAGCAUUCCGCCUGGGGAGUACGGCCGCAAGGUUGAAACUCAAAGGAAUUGACGGGGGCCCGCACAAGCAGCGGAGCAUGUGGUUUAAUUCGACGCAACGCGAAGAACCUUACCAGGUCUUGACAUCCACUUAAACUUACAGAGAUGUAAGGUGUGCUUGCACAAAGUGAGACAGGUGGUGCAUGGUUGUCGUCAGCUCGUGUCGUGAGAUGUUGGGUUAA